rnacentral:rRNA from 1 species
AGCGAACGCUGGCGGCAGGCCUAACUCAUGCAAGUCGAACGAACUCUUCGGAGUUAGUGGCGGACGGGUGAGUAACACGUGGGAACGUGCCUUUUGGUUCGGAAUAACUCAGGGAAACUUGUGCUAAUACCGAAUGUGCCCUUCGGGGGAAAGAUUUAUCGCCAUUAGAGCGGCCCGCGUCUGAUUAGCUAGUUGGUGAGGUAACGGCUCACCAAGGCGACGAUCAGUAGCUGGUCUGAGAGGAUGACCAGCCACACUGGGGCUGAGACACGGCCCAGACUCCUACGGGAGGCAGCAGUGGGGAAUCUUGCGCAAUGGGCGAAAGCCUGACGCAGCCAUGCCGCGUGAAUGAUGAAGGUCUUAGGAUUGUAAAAUUCUUUCACCGGGGACGAUAAUGACGGUACCCGGAGAAGAAGCCCCGGCUAACUUCGUG